rnacentral:rRNA from 1 species
CUACGGGUUGCUGCAGUGAGGAAUUUUGCGCAAUGGGGGAAACCCUGACGCAGCAACGCCGCGUGAGUGAUGAAGGCCUUCGGGUCGUAAAACUCUGUCAAGUGGGAAGAACCUAUGUAAGGUUAAUACCCUUAUGUACUGACGGUACCACUGAAGGAAGCACCGGCUAACUCCGUGCCAGCAGCCGCGGUAAUACGGAGGGUGCAAGCGUUAUUCGGAAUUAUUGGGCGUAAAGGGCGCGCAGGCGGUUUUGUAAGUCAGAUGUGAAAGCCCGGGGCUUAACCUCGGAAGUGCAUUUGAUACUGCAAGACUUGAGUAUGGGAGGGGGAAGUGGAAUUCCUGGUGUAGAGGUGAAAUUCGUAGAUAUCAGGAGGAACACCAGUGGCGAAGGCGACUUCCUGGACCAAUACUGACGCUGAGGCGCGAAGGCGUGGGGAGCAAACAGGAUUAGAUACCCCGGUAGUC